GAUGAACGCUAGCGGCAGGCCUAAUACAUGCAAGUCGAACGGUGUCUUCGGACAUAGUGGCGCACGGGUGCGUAACACGUAUGCAACCUACCUUACAUUGGGGGAUAGCCUUUCGAAAGGGAGAUUAAUACCGCAUAAGACAGUAGCUGGGCAUCCAGCAGCUGUUAAAGAUUUAUCGAUGUAAGCUGGGCAUGCGUCCAAUUAGCUAGUUGGUGAGGUAACGGCUCACCAAGGCAAUGAUUGGUAGGGGAACUGAGAGGUCAAUCCCCCACACUGACACUGAGAUACGGGCCAGACUCCUACGGGAGGCAGCAGUAGGGAAUAUUGGGCAAUGGACGCAAGUCUGACCCAGCCAUGCCGCGUGCAGGAUGAAGGCGUUAUGCGUUGUAAACUGCUUUUAUACAGGAAGAAACGACUCUUGCGAGAGGCAUUGACGGUACUGUAUGAAUAAGCACCGGCUAACACCGUGCCAGCAGCCGCCGUAAAAC
rnacentral:rRNA from 1 species